rnacentral:rRNA from 1 species
ACCGAUAGCAAACAAGUACCGUGAGGAAAGUUGCAAAGAACUUGAAGAGRGAGUUCAAGAGUACGUGAAACUGCUCAGAGGUAAACGGGUGGGCACUCGAAAUCCCCUGUCGGGAGGAUUCAGUCUGUAAUUGCAGUCCCGCUGGUCGGAAGUGAGAAGGCUUUCCGUCGACGGGGCCGUCCGAUCCGGUUUUCGGCCGGGACAGACGCAUUUCUCUCMSGAUCUGAGGRCGCCGCAGCCCGUGGGGAAGUGCAAACGUGACGGCCUGKAAGGCGGGGAAUGGCARGUGGCCGGUGGCGAGCUCAGUGCUCUAUACCGGUUGUUAGCUGACUCGUCGGUGGCAAGUCUCCCCACGGAGGUUCCGGAAUCKCUUCCUCCGUGAAGUCUGGACGUGCAGUCGCGAGCGAAGGCAACCGCGCGGCCGCACUCCGUCGGAGUGGGCCAGWGUGAGGUCUGCGCCGUCGGUGACCGAGUACCAGUCGGAGGUUGGUGAUUAGCSGCGAGAUGGUCGGUCGCCCACMCGASCCGUCUUGAAACACGGACCAMGGAGUCUAGCAYGUGCGCGAGUCAAUGGGCCUCGAAUAAGCCCAGAGGCGCAAAGAAAGUGAAGUUCGGUUCCACACCGGACGUGUCGGGAUCCCGUUACCGCAGUAGCGGGCGCACCGACGACCCGUCUUGUGCGACUUGUCGCUUGGGCGGA